UGCGGAGUAGAGCAGUGGCAGCUCGUUGGGCUCAUAACCCAAAGGUCGUAGGUUCGAAUCCUAUCUCCGUCA
rnacentral:tRNA from 1 species